rnacentral:lncRNA from 1 species
ACAUAUCACUGUAUGCUUCCCACAGAGGGUUAACGCUCCUGCUGAACCGGAUGUGAUUCCUGCUCCGUUUCAGUGUUGUCGUUGCACGGCCAAUGGCGGACGGAGCCUGAGCAUUUGUCUGAAAAACGUACGUUUUGCACAAAUAUACUCGAAUAUCGAUAGGCCAGUCAAAGCUUUCAGAUCGCACGCGUGUUUUUGGCCCUGAUCAGAUUUGCGCCCAUCAGCAUGGAUGUGAAUUUGACCAUCUCUCUGAUGCGGGGCCAGAUGGGCGCUGUUAUUGAGAAAGCCGUGAACGUCGCGGUGGAGACCGUGCUAGGCGAGAUGAUCCGGGUGGUCGGGCUCAAAUUUGAGGAGAUCAAACGUGACAUGACAGCUAAAGAGAAGGAGAAUGAGAACAUCAGGAGGAUGUUGGAGGCGUCUCGCUGUCAGAUGAAAACCAUGCGCAAGUACAUCAGCGUCCUGUCUGCUAAAGACCCCAACCAUAGACUGUGUCAGGGAGAUGGAGACAUGGCAACAACAUCCACAGGGAUGCACUGCAGAAGAGGGCCGACGAGCACUGUGUCAGUGUGUGCCAAAACCCCAGACCCCUGUCCCAGACCCAGAGUCUCUGAACCAGCCCCUGUAGCUGCCCCCUCAUGGGUGAGGCUGAGACAGCAGAUGCACAUGUCCAAAGAAACAUUAAGAAGUGAGAAUCACAUUGCUGAUGUCCAUAUUGAAGAGAUCCAUGGAUCAUCAGUUCAUAAAGUUGAGAUCUCAAGCCCUCAUCUGGUGGACAGCCAGGUGCUUCUGUCUGAGACCAGUGAUCCAGUAUGGGGUCAGAACCCUCUCGUCUCUGCAGAGACUGGGCACACAGACAUGCCAGACAGCAGCGUCCUCUCUGCACCCAUGAUGGCAGAUGAAAGUGUGUCAUCCCAAACUACAAGCACAGUGGCAUUUGGAGCACCUUCACUUAAAAUCAAACAGGAGGAAGCGGAGGUUGAAAUAGUCUGUGUGAAGGAUGAACACGCAGAAGCUGGCAGCAUCCCUAGAUUUGAAUAUUCCGACCCUGAACUUCACCAGCAAGUGGGAGAACCAGAGCUCGGGGUCUCACUAGAUCUACCCGCAUCAUUUCAGGCUCUUCAGAGUCCAGGCACUUCAGCAGACCUUGCAAUCCCAGCAUUCAUGAGUGUGGACCCAACUACCUCUAUGUCAGAUGUGAGUCCAGGGAGUUUUGAAAAUAAUCAAUGUACAGUUGCAGAGAGGGCUAUUCUUGAGUCACAGGGAGAAAUGGACUGGAAAAUCAAUCACCUGACUGCACUGGUUCAGUGUCUUGUGGGGAACAGGUGCUUUGUGCCUCCACUGCAAAUAGAGGAUGAGGAUUGUGUCUUGCCUUUGAUGUCAAUGGGGGAUCUUGACCGAUUGGAGCAAAGACUUAUGGAUAGAGGGACGAUGCAAAAAUUGGUAAGAUGCUUUGGAAUUAUGGAAUUAAAGAAGUGACUGAAAUGUUGGAAGAACUUUUAUUUAUAAUCUAUAUUUAAUUUCUGUUUUAGGUGAACAGAUUGUCUGUUAGUGGAGGUCAAACUAUGAAAAAGACCAUAUGGAGAAUUUGCACCAAAGUUUUUGCUUCCAAUGUGGCCAAACAGCUCAACUGGUGCGGACGGGGAGACAAGCGAGGCUUAAGAAAGACAAAUAUCGGAGCACUAAUAAUAGGUAUAUCCAAAAUAAAUUGAAUACUUUUAUGGAUAAAAGU